UUUGUAAGUCCCUCAUCGGGUAUUAGUUAGUAGCGCUACUUAGGUUUGGCACCCUCACCCCGUGCCUGUAGAGGACGGAGGUGAACUAAUGACCCAGUCUGGCCCAGUACUAGAUAGGAGUACGUGGGAAGGGCAGUCGUGUAUUUCAGGAGCCGUCAUUUCCGUGAGCCGUCCGUGUUUGGAAAUGAGAUAUUAACAAUAUUACUUGCAUUGGGUAUUAAACUGUUUUACAUACACCGGGUAACAAACGUUUUCUAAAACUGUGAACUCGCCAGCUUUGUCUGAUACGUGUGUUACAUGCUCGCAGGUCCAUAGGUACUAUGAAAGCAGGAACUUGCUGGCUGGAGGGCGUGAGUGGUCAUGGUUGCUUGCUGGAUUUAUUAUCAGACUUUUUAUACUAUGUUCGUUUGGGAUAACACUUAUAUUACGUUACAUUAAUGCUUCCGCUAAACUUAUGGUUUUUGAAUAAUGUAUGUUGGGAUUUUACUAUCUUUAAACAACGAAGUUUUAUUUCAAACUUGUGAUUCAAUGUAAUUGGUGGCUCAUUGCUAGU
rnacentral:lncRNA from 1 species